AGAGCAGGACAAAUGACCGCUGCUUUACCUUUAAGGUAGAGGGGAGGAAAGUCCGGGCUCCACAGGACAGGGUGCUGGGUAACACCCAGUCCCGGCGACGGGCAGGAAAGUGCCACAGAAAACAAACCGCCCCACUCGGUAUCCUGGAUAUUGGGCAGGGUAAGGGUGAAAAGGUGAGGUAAGAGCUCACCAGUCCUGCCGGUGACGGCAGGAGCUAGGUAAACCCCACCCGGAGAAAGACCAAAUAAGGGAACGUUUGAGAGUGGUCCGCUCGAGUUCCCGGGUAGGUCGCUUGAUCUCAAUGGUCACAUUGAGACUAGAUGAAUGGUCAUUACCCCCAAACGGGUGACUGCUUGGGGGGACAGAACCCGGCUUAUGGCCUGCUCUAACA
rnacentral:RNase_P_RNA from 1 species